rnacentral:rRNA from 1 species
AGCGUACACGGUGGAUGCCCUGGCAGUCAGAGGCGAUGAAGGACGUGCUAAUCUGCGAUAAGCGUCGGUAAGGUGAUAUGAACCGUUAUAACCGGCGAUUUCCGAAUGGGGAAACCCAGUGUGAUUCGUCACACUAUCAUUAACUGAAUCCAUAGGUUAAUGAGGCGAACCGGGGGAACUGAAACAUCUAAGUACCCCGAGGAAAAGAAAUCAACCGAGAUUCCCCCAGUAGCGGCGAGCGAACGGGGAGCAGCCCAGAGCCUGAAUCAGUGUGUGUGUUAGUGGAAGCGUCUGGAAAGGCGCGCGAUACAGGGUGACAGCCCCGUACACAAAAAUGCACAUACUGUGAGCUCGAUGAGUAGGGCGGGACACGUGGUAUCCUGUCUGAAUAUGGGGGGACCAUCCUCCAAGGCUAAAUACUCCUGACUGACCGAUAGUGAACCAGUACCGUGAGGGAAAGGCGAAAAGAACCCCGGCGAGGGGAGUGAAAAAGAACCUGAAACCGUGUACGUACAAGCAGUGGGAGCACGCUUCGGCGUGUGACUGCGUACCUUUUGUAUAAUGGGUCAGCGACUUAUAUUCUGUAGCAAGGUUAACCGAAUAGGGGAGCCGAAGGGAAACCGAGUCUUAACUGGGCGUUAAGUUGCAGGGUAUAGACCCGAAACCCGGUGAUCUAGCCAUGGGCAGGUUGAAGGUUGGGUAACACUAACUGGAGGACCGAACCGACUAAUGUUGAAAAAUUAGCGGAUGACUUGUGGCUGGGGGUGAAAGGCCAAUCAAACCGGGAGAUAGCUGGUUCUCCCCGAAAGCUAUUUAGGUAGCGCCUCGUGAAUUCAUCUCCGGGGGUAGAGCACUGUUUCGGCAAGGGGGUCAUCCCGACUUACCAACCCGAUGCAAACUGCGAAUACCGGAGAAUGUUAUCACGGGAGACACACGGCGGGUGCUAACGUCCGUCGUGAAGAGGGAAACAACCCAGACCGCCAGCUAAGGUCCCAAAGUCAUGGUUAAGUGGGAAACGAUGUGGGAAGGCCCAGACAGCCAGGAUGUUGGCUUAGAAGCAGCCAUCAUUUAAAGAAAGCGUAAUAGCUCACUGGUCGAGUCGGCCUGCGCGGAAGAUGUAACGGGGCUAAACCAUGCACCGAAGCUGCGGCAGCGACACUAUGUGUUGUUGGGUAGGGGAGCGUUCUGUAAGCCUGUGAAGGUGUACUGUGAGGUAUGCUGGAGGUAUCAGAAGUGCGAAUGCUGACAUAAGUAACGAUAAAGCGGGUGAAAAGCCCGCUCGCCGGAAGACCAAGGGUUCCUGUCCAACGUUAAUCGGGGCAGGGUGAGUCGACCCCUAAGGCGAGGCCGAAAGGCGUAGUCGAUGGGAAACAGGUUAAUAUUCCUGUACUUGGUGUUACUGCGAAGGGGGGACGGAGAAGGCUAUGUUGGCCGGGCGACGGUUGUCCCGGUUUAAGCGUGUAGGCUGGUUUUCCAGGCAAAUCCGGAAAAUCAAGGCUGAGGCGUGAUGACGAGGCACUACGGUGCUGAAGCAACAAAUGCCCUGCUUCCAGGAAAAGCCUCUAAGCAUCAGGUAACAUCAAAUCGUACCCCAAACCGACACAGGUGGUCAGGUAGAGAAUACCAAGGCGCUUGAGAGAACUCGGGUGAAGGAACUAGGCAAAAUGGUGCCGUAACUUCGGGAGAAGGCACGCUGAUAUGUAGGUGAAGCGACUUGCUCGUGGAGCUGAAAUCAGUCGAAGAUACCAGCUGGCUGCAACUGUUUAUUAAAAACACAGCACUGUGCAAACACGAAAGUGGACGUAUACGGUGUGACGCCUGCCCGGUGCCGGAAGGUUAAUUGAUGGGGUUAGCGGUAACGCGAAGCUCUUGAUCGAAGCCCCGGUAAACGGCGGCCGUAACUAUAACGGUCCUAAGGUAGCGAAAUUCCUUGUCGGGUAAGUUCCGACCUGCACGAAUGGCGUAAUGAUGGCCAGGCUGUCUCCACCCGAGACUCAGUGAAAUUGAACUCGCUGUGAAGAUGCAGUGUACCCGCGGCAAGACGGAAAGACCCCGUGAACCUUUACUAUAGCUUGACACUGAACAUUGAGCCUUGAUGUGUAGGAUAGGUGGGAGGCUUUGAAGUGUGGACGCCAGUCUGCAUGGAGCCGACCUUGAAAUACCACCCUUUAAUGUUUGAUGUUCUAACGUUGACCCGUGAUCCGGGUUGCGGACAGUGUCUGGUGGGUAGUUUGACUGGGGCGGUCUCCUCCUAAAGAGUAACGGAGGAGCACGAAGGUUGGCUAAUCCUGGUCGGACAUCAGGAGGUUAGUGCAAUGGCAUAAGCCAGCUUGACUGCGAGCGUGACGGCGCGAGCAGGUGCGAAAGCAGGUCAUAGUGAUCCGGUGGUUCUGAAUGGAAGGGCCAUCGCUCAACGGAUAAAAGGUACUCCGGGGAUAACAGGCUGAUACCGCCCAAGAGUUCAUAUCGACGGCGGUGUUUGGCACCUCGAUGUCGGCUCAUCACAUCCUGGGGCUGAAGUAGGUCCCAAGGGUAUGGCUGUUCGCCAUUUAAAGUGGUACGCGAGCUGGGUUUAGAACGUCGUGAGACAGUUCGGUCCCUAUCUGCCGUGGGCGCUGGAGAACUGAGGGGGGCUGCUCCUAGUACGAGAGGACCGGAGUGGACGCAUCACUGGUGUUCGGGUUGUCAUGCCAAUGGCACUGCCCGGUAGCUAAAUGCGGAAGAGAUAAGUGCUGAAAGCAUCUAAGCACGAAACUUGCCCCGAGAUGAGUUCU